rnacentral:rRNA from 1 species
UACGGGGGGAGCAAGCGUUGUUCGGAUUUACUGGGCGUAAAGGGCGCGUAGGCGGUCAGCACAAGUCAGUUGUGAAAUCUCCGGGCUUAACUCGGAAAGGUCAACUGAUACUGUGCGACUAGAGUGCGGAAGGGGCAACUGGAAUUCUCGGUGUAGCGGUGAAAUGCGUAGAUAUUCGCAAGAACACCAGUGGCGAAGGCGGCUCACUGGCCCGAUACUGACGCUGAGGCACGAAAGCGUGGGGAGCAAACAGG